GACGAACGCUGGCGGCGUGCCUAAUACAUGCAAGUCGAGCGGACGGAUGGGAGCUUGCUCCCAGACCGUCAGCGGCGGACGGGUGAGUAACACGUGGGCACCCUGCCUGUAAGACUGGGAUAACUCCGGGAAACCGGGGCUAAUACCGGAUAACUCAUUCCCUCACAUGAGGGAAAGCUGAAAGAUGGCAUCUCGCUAUCACUUACAGAUUGGCCCGCGGCGCAUUAGCUAGUUGGUGAGGUAACGGCUCACCAAGGCGACGAUGCGUAGCCGACCUGAGAGGGUGAUCGGCCACACUGGGACUGAGACACGGCCCAGACUCCUACGGGAGGCAGCAGUAGGGAAUCUUCCGCAAUGGACGAAAGUCUGACGGAGCAACGCCGCGUGAGUGAUGAAGGUUUUCGGAUCGUAAAACUCUGUUGUCAGGGAAGAACAAGUACCGGAGUAACUGCCGGUACCUUGACGGUACCUGACCAGAAAGCCACGGCUAACUACGUG
rnacentral:rRNA from 1 species